rfam:Triticum urartu cultivar G1812 contig447030, whole genome shotgun sequence.
UACAUACUCCCUCCGUCCGAAAAUACUUGUCUUGAAAAUGGACAAAAAAUUGAUGUAUCUAGAACUAAAAUACAUCUAGAUACAUCAUCUUUUAUUCAUUUUGAUGACAAGUAUUUUCGGACGGAGGGAGUACUUA